rnacentral:piRNA from 1 species
UGCUAAACUGGGAGCUCUUUGGGGGUCAGG